CGCGAGCUGCGGCGUCCUAUACAUGCAAGUCGAACGCUUCUUUUUCCACCGGAGCUUGCUCCACCGGAAAAAGAGGAGUGGCGAACGGGUGAGUAACACGUGGGUAACCUGCCCAUCAGAAGGGGAUAACACUUGGAAACAGGUGCUAAUACCGUAUAACAAUCGAAACCGCAUGGUUUUGAUUUGAAAGGCGCUUUCGGGUGUCGCUGAUGGAUGGACCCGCGGUGCAUUAGCUAGUUGGUGAGGUAACGGCUCACCAAGGCGACGAUGCAUAGCCGACCUGAGAGGGUGAUCGGCCACAUUGGGACUGAGACACGGCCCAAACUCCUACGGGAGGCAGCAGUAGGGAAUCUUCGGCAAUGGACGAAAGUCUGACCGAGCAACGCCGCGUGAGUGAAGAAGGUUUUCGGAUCGUAAAACUCUGUUGUUAGAGAAGAACAAGGAUGAGAGUAACUGUUCAUCCCUUGACGGUAUCUAACCAGAAAGCCACGGCUAACUACGUGCCAGCAGCCGCGGUAAUACGUAGGUGGCAAGCGUUGUCCGGAUUUAUUGGGCGUAAAGCGAGCGCAGGCGGUUUCUUAAGUCUGAUGUGAAAGCCCCCGGCUCAACCGGGGAGGGUCAUUGGAAACUGGGAGACUUGAGUGCAGAAGAGGAGAGUGGAAUUCCAUGUGUAGCGGUGAAAUGCGUAGAUAUAUGGAGGAACACCAGUGGCGAAGGCGGCUCUCUGGUCUGUAACUGACGCUGAGGCUCGAAAGCGUGGGGAGCAAACAGGAUUAGAUACCCUGGUAGUCCACGCCGUAAACGAUGAGUGCUAAGUGUUGGAGGGUUUCCGCCCUUCAGUGCUGCAGCUAACGCAUUAAGCACUCCGCCUGGGGAGUACGACCGCAAGGUUGAAACUCAAAGGAAUUGACGGGGGCCCGCACAAGCGGUGGAGCAUGUGGUUUAAUUCGAAGCAACGCGAAGAACCUUACCAGGUCUUGACAUCCUUUGACCACUCUAGAGAUAGAGCUUCCCCUUCGGGGGCAAAGUGACAGGUGGUGCAUGGUUGUCGUCAGCUCGUGUCGUGAGAUGUUGGGUUAAGUCCCGCAACGAGCGCAACCCUUAUUGUUAGUUGCCAUCAUUUAGUUGGGCACUCUAGCAAGACUGCCGGUGACAAACCGGAGGAAGGUGGGGAUGACGUCAAAUCAUCAUGCCCCUUAUGACCUGGGCUACACACGUGCUACAAUGGGAAGUACAACGAGUCGCAAAGUCGCGAGGCUAAGCUAAUCUCUUAAAGCUUCUCUCAGUUCGGAUUGUAGGCUGCAACUCGCCUACAUGAAGCCGGAAUCGCUAGUAAUCGCGGAUCAGCACGCCGCGGUGAAUACGUUCCCGGGCCUUGUACACACCGCCCGUCACACCACGAGAGUUUGUAACACCCGAAGUCGGUGAGGUAACCUUUUGGAGCCAGCCGCCUAAGGUGGAAGAUAUGG
rnacentral:rRNA from 1 species